CACACUAUCAUUAACUGAAUCCAUAGGUUAAUGAGGCGAACCGGGGGAACUGAAACAUCUAAGUACCCCGAGGAAAAGAAAUCAACCGAGAUUCCCCCAGUAGCGGCGAGCGAACGGGGAGCAGCCCAGAGCCUGAAUCAGUGUGUGUGUUAGUGGAAGCGUCUGGAAAGGCGCGCGAUACAGGGUGACAGCCCCGUACACAAAAAUGCACAUGCUGUGAGCUCGAUGAGUAGGGCGGGACACGUGGUAUCCUGUCUGAAUAUGGGGGGACCAUCCUCCAAGGCUAAAUACUCCUGACUGACCGAUAGUGAACCAGUACCGUGAGGGAAAGGCGAAAAGAACCCCGGCGAGGGGAGUGAAAAAGAACCUGAAACCGUGUACGUACAAGCAGUGGGAGCCUCUUUAUGGGGUGACUGCGUACCUUUUGUAUAAUGGGUCAGCGACUUAUAUUCUGUAGCAAGGUUAACCGAAUAGGGGAGCCGAAGGGAAACCGAGUCUUAACUGGGCGUUAAGUUGCAGGGUAUAGACCCGAAACCCGGUGAUCUAGCCAUGGGCAGGUUGAAGGUUGGGUAACACUAACUGGAGGACCGAACCGACUAAUGUUGAAAAAUUAGCGGAUGACUUGUGGCUGGGGGUGAAAGGCCAAUCAAACCGGGAGAUAGCUGGUUCUCCCCGAAAGCUAUUUAGGUAGCGCCUCGUGAAUUCAUCUCCGGGGGUAGAGCACUGUUUCGGCAAGGGGGUCAUCCCGACUUACCAACCCGAUGCAAACUGCGAAUACCGGAGAAUGUUAUCACGGGAGACACACGGCGGGUGCUAACGUCCGUCGUGAAGAGGGAAACAACCCAGACCGCCAGCUAAGGUCCCAAAGUCAUGGUUAAGUGGGAAACGAUGUGGGAAGGCCCAGACAGCCAGGAUGUUGGCUUAGAAGCAGCCAUCAUUUAAAGAAAGCGUAAUAGCUCACUGGUCGAGUCGGCCUGCGCGGAAGAUGUAACGGGGCUAAACCAUGCACCGAAGCUGCGGCAGCGACGCUUAUGCGUUGUUGGGUAGGGGAGCGUUCUGUAAGCCUGUGAAGGUGUGCUGUGAGGCAUGCUGGAGGUAUCAGAAGUGCGAAUGCUGACAUAAGUAACGAUAAAGCGGGUGAAAAGCCCGCUCGCCGGAAGACCAAGGGUUCCUGUCCAACGUUAAUCGGGGCAGGGUGAGUCGACCCCUAAGGCGAGGCCGAAAGGCGUAGUCGAUGGGAAACAGGUUAAUAUUCCUGUACUUGGUGUUACUGCGAAGGGGGGACGGAGAAGGCUAUGUUGGCCGGGCGACGGUUGUCCCGGUUUAAGCGUGUAGGCUGGUUUUCCAGGCAAAUCCGGAAAAUCAAGGCUGAGGCGUGAUGACGAGGCACUACGGUGCUGAAGCAACAAAUGCCCUGCUUCCAGGAAAAGCCUCUAAGCAUCAGGUAACAUCAAAUCGUACCCCAAACCGACACAGGUGGUCAGGUAGAGAAUACCAAGGCGCUUGAGAGAACUCGGGUGAAGGAACUAGGCAAAAUGGUGCCGUAACUUCGGGAGAAGGCACGCUGAUAUGUAGGUGAGGUCCCUCGCGGAUGGAGCUGAAAUCAGUCGAAGAUACCAGCUGGCUGCAACUGUUUAUUAAAAACACAGCACUGUGCAAACACGAAAGUGGACGUAUACGGUGUGACGCCUGCCCGGUGCCGGAAGGUUAAUUGAUGGGGUUAGCGGUAACGCGAAGCUCUUGAUCGAAGCCCCGGUAAACGGCGGCCGUAACUAUAACGGUCCUAAGGUAGCGAAAUUCCUUGUCGGGUAAGUUCCGACCUGCACGAAUGGCGUAAUGAUGGCCAGGCUGUCUCCACCCGAGACUCAGUGAAAUUGAACUCGCUGUGAAGAUGCAGUGUACCCGCGGCAAGACGGAAAGACCCCGUGAACCUUUACUAUAGCUUGACACUGAACAUUGAGCCUUGAUGUGUAGGAUAGGUGGGAGGCUUUGAAGUGUGGACGCCAGUCUGCAUGGAGCCGACCUUGAAAUACCACCCUUUAAUGUUUGAUGUUCUAACGUUGACCCGUAAUCCGGGUUGCGGACAGUGUCUGGUGGGUAGUUUGACUGGGGCGGUCUCCUCCUAAAGAGUAACGGAGGAGCACGAAGGUUGGCUAAUCCUGGUCGGACAUCAGGAGGUUAGUGCAAUGGCAUAAGCCAGCUUGACUGCGAGCGUGACGGCGCGAGCAGGUGCGAAAGCAGGUCAUAGUGAUCCGGUGGUUCUGAAUGGAAGGGCCAUCGCUCAACGGAUAAAAGGUACUCCGGGGAUAACAGGCUGAUACCGCCCAAGAGUUCAUAUCGACGGCGGUGUUUGGCACCUCGAUGUCGGCUCAUCACAUCCUGGGGCUGAAGUAGGUCCCAAGGGUAUGGCUGUUCGCCAUUUAAAGUGGUACGCGAGCUGGGUUUAGAACGUCGUGAGACAGUUCGGUCCCUAUCUGCCGUGGGCGCUGGAGAACUGAGGGGGGCUGCUCCUAGUACGAGAGGACCGGAGUGGACGCAUCACUGGUGUUCGGGUUGUCAUGCCAAUGGCACUGCCCGGUAGCUAAAUGCGGAAGAGAUAAGUGCUGAAAGCAUCUAAGCACGAAACUUGCCCCGAGAUGAGUUCUCCCUGACUCCUUGAGAGUCCUGAAGGAACGUUGAAGACGACGACGUUGAUAGGCCGGGUGUGUAAGCGCAGCGAUGCGUUGAGCUAACCGGUACUAAUGAACCGUGAGGCUUAACCUU
rnacentral:rRNA from 1 species